UGCCUUAGUAACUGCGAGUGAAGCGGCAAAAGCUCAAAUUUGAAAUCUGGCGUCUUUGGCGUUCGAGUUGUAAUUUGGAGAGAUAACUUCGGAGUUGGCUCUGUCCUAAGUUCCUUGGAACAGGAUGUCAUAGAGGGUGAGAAUCCCGUAUGCGGAUGGGUGUCCUUCUCCAUGUGAAGUGUCUUCGACGAGUCGAGUUGUUUGGGAAUGCAGCUCAAAAUGGGAGGUAAAUUUCUUCUAAAGCUAAAUAUUGGCGAGAGACCGAUAGCGCACAAGUAGAGUGAUCGAAAGAUGAAAAGCACUUUGAAAAGAGAGUUAAAAAGUACGUGAAAUUGUUGAAAGGGAAGCGCUUGAGACCAGACUCAAUUAGUAGUAAUCAUCAGUGCUUCUGUACUGUGCACUUGCUGUUAUUUGGGCCAGCAUCGGUUGCGGCGGUGGGAUAAAGACUUGGGGAAUGUGGCUCUCUUCGGGGAGUGUUAUAGCCUCUUGUGCAAUGCCAUCUGUUGUGACCGAGGACCGCGCUUCGGCUAGGAUGCUGGCAUAAUGGUCUUCAGCGACCCGUCUUGAAACACGGACCAAGGAGUCUAACAUCUAUGCGAGUGUUCGGGUGGAAAACCCCUGCGCGUAAUGAAAGUGAACGGAGGUGGGAACCCGCAAGGGCGCACCAUCGACCGAUCCUGAUGUCUUCGGAUGGAUUUGAGUAAGAGCAUAGCUGUUGGGACCCGAAAGAUGGUGAACUAUGCCUGAAUAGGGUGAAGCCAGAGGAAACUCUGGUGGAGGCUCGCAGCGGUUCUGACGUGCAAAUCGAUCGUCAAAUUUGGGUAUAGGGGCGAAAGACUAAUCGAACCAUCUAGUA
rnacentral:rRNA from 1 species